GAUGAACGCUGGCGGCGUGCUUAACACAUGCAAGUCGAACGGAAAGGCUCCUGCUUGCAGGGGUACUCGAGUGGCGAACGGGUGAGUAACACGUGGGUGAUCUGCCCUGUACUUCGGGAUAAGCUUGGGAAACUGGGUCUAAUACCGGAUAGGACAACUUUUUGGAUAUUGUUGUGGAAAGCUUUUGCGGUAUGGGAUGAGCUCGCGGCCUAUCAGCUUGUUGGUGGGGUAAUGGCCUACCAAGGCGUCGACGGGUAGCCGGCCUGAGAGGGUGUACGGCCACAUUGGGACGGAGAUACGGCCCAGACUCCUACGGGAGGCAGCAGUGGGGAAGAUUGCACAAUGGGCGCAAGCCUGAUGCAGCGACGCCGCGUGGGGGAUGAAGGCCUUCGGGUUGUAAACUCCUUUCGCUAGGGACGAAGCUUUUUUGUGACGGUACCUGGAGAAGAAGCACCGGCUAACUACGUG
rnacentral:rRNA from 1 species